AUGGCGGCGGCAAUGGCCGCGACGACAAUGGUGACCAAGAACAACCGCGCCUCGCUCGUCAUGGACAAGAAGAACUGGUUAUUGCGGCCGGUCCCUGAGGUCGCCUUCCCUUGGAGCUCGCAGCCCGAGUCCAGGAGCUUGGACUUCCCACGCAGGGCUCUGUUCGCCAGCGUGGGACUCAGCCUGUCCCACGGCGCCCCGCCGGUAGCGCGCGAGCAUGACGGGAAGGCUCGGCCCGCCGACGACGUCGCACACCAGCUCGCAGCCGCGGGCGAGGCGGGCGUCCAGAAGGCCCAGAAGGCGAAAAAGGCCAAAAAGCAGCAGCUGAGUCUGAGGAAGGUGAGGGUCAAGAUCGGCAACCCGCACCUGCGGCGGCUGGUCAGCGGCGCCAUCGCCGGCGCCGUGUCGAGGACUUUCGUGGCGCCACUGGAGACGAUCAGGACGCACCUGAUGGUGGGGAGCUCCGGCGCCGACUCCAUGGCCGGGGUUUUCCGGUGGAUCAUGCGGACGGAGGGGUGGCCCGGCCUCUUCCGCGGCAACGCCGUCAACGUCCUCCGCGUCGCGCCAAGCAAGGCCAUCGAGCACUUCACUUACGACACGGCGAAGAAGUACCUGACCCCGGAGGCCGGCGAGCCAGCCAAGGUCCCCAUCCCCACGCCGCUCGUCGCCGGAGCGCUCGCCGGAGUGGCGUCAACCCUGUGCACCUAUCCCAUGGAGCUCGUCAAGACCCGUCUCACCAUCGAGAAGGACGUGUACGACAACCUCCUCCACGCGUUCGUCAAGAUCGUGCGCGACGAAGGCCCGGGGGAGCUGUACCGCGGGCUGGCGCCGAGCCUGAUCGGCGUGGUGCCGUACGCGGCGGCCAACUUCUACGCCUACGAGACGCUGCGCGGCGUGUACCGCCGCGCGUCGGGGAAAGAGGAGGUGGGCAACGUGCCGACGCUGCUGAUCGGGUCCGCGGCGGGCGCCAUAGCCAGCACGGCCACGUUCCCGCUGGAGGUGGCGCGGAAGCAGAUGCAGGUGGGCGCCGUGGGCGGGAGGCAGGUGUACAAGAACGUGCUGCACGCCAUGUACUGCAUCCUCGAGAAGGAGGGCACCGCCGGGCUCUACCGCGGGCUCGGCCCCAGCUGCAUCAAGCUCAUGCCCGCCGCCGGCAUCUCCUUCAUGUGCUACGAGGCCUGCAAGAAGAUACUUGUCGACGAGAAAGAAGACGGCGGCGCCGCCGAGCCCCAGGAGGAGACGGAGACCGGACAGGCAGGAGGACAGGCGGCGCCCAAGAGCUCGAACGGUGAUCGGCCAUGA
rnacentral:rRNA from 1 species